CCGGUCGAUUUCUUUCACGCGUGAUCAUAUAAGUACAAAAAAAAAUUUGUUAAUCCUACUGUGAAUCAUUUUUUGUUCCAUGAACUGUUUUUUUAUGUCCAUUUAACGUUUCUCUUUAGCUUUUUUUAAAAAAAUUAGUUCACGCAAAACCGUAAAUUUUUCGUUGCCAGUUAAACAAAAAAGGUAUUGAAUUAAAAUUUUUAACAACCGCUUCCGAUGAUUGGUAGACGUUUCCUUCGUGGAAAACCCAAUUUCUAUUAUAAUUGAAAUUGUCUUAAUCUCACGUCGUUGCAAUUUUAUCGUUAUUGAUUACACACAUUUUGUGUAUGUUGAUACACUAUUCAAGCUAAUUUUAUUCGUUUCCUUACAACGUGCGGUCGACUUUCCUUAUGAGUAGAUUUUUACGUUCAAAAAAGAAUAUUGAUUACCUAGACGACAAACUUGAGAAUAUCAGAAUCUUUUUUGACUCAUAUUCUAAGACAAUUUAAAGUGUUACACUUUAAAUAAUUCACACAAUAGUAGUGACCCGUUCAACUUUCACCCGAGUAGGUCUUUUAUUGUAACUACUUCGCAUAUUUUUGAUUUUUUAAAAAUUAGCAUCGUUCUUUAUUAAGAACCACACAGAAAAAUAAUUUUCUAAAGCUACUAUUUGUUUUUUUGGUAGACAUUAUACCUCAGCAAAAGAUUGCUAUGAUUUUUUUUAUUGACUG